UGGGGGAUAUUGCACAAUGGGCGAAAGCCUGAUGCAGCGACGCCGCGUGGGGGAUGAAGGCCUUCGGGUUGUAAACUUCUUUUGCUCUGAACAAGGCGCACCAUGGGGUGUGUUGAGUGUAGGGGUUGAUUAGCGCCGGCUAACUACGUGCCAGCAGCCGCGGUAAUACGUAGGGCGCGAGCGUUGUCCGGAAUUAUUGGGCGUAAAGGGCUUGUAGGUGGCUGGUUGCGUCUGUCGUGAAAGCUCAUGGCUUAACUGUGGGUUUGCGGUGGGGACGGGCUGGCUUGAGUGCAGUAGGGGAGGCUGGAAUUCCUGGUGUAGCGGUGGAAUGCGCAGAUAUCAGGAGGAAUACCGGUGGCGAAGGCGGGUCUCUGGGCUGUUACUGACACUGAGGAGCGAAAGCAUGGGGAGCGAACAGG
rnacentral:rRNA from 1 species